UGCUAUCAGUAGGGACCCAAAUCCCGACCUUCAGCCCGAUCCCACGUGGAAAGGUAAGAGGUCCACUCCUCUACAGCCCUGUUCUCAAAAUUCAAAAAUUCCCAAAUUUUGAAAUCGUGAAAUCCUCUCUCUCUCUCUGAGAACACAACACCAUAUCCUCUCUUCUCUCUCGACCCACCACCACCGAUGGGCACCCUAAACUCCCCCACCACCACCACGAUCUCCUCUCUUCUCUCUCCUCCGAGAUCACACUCUCCUCUCGUCGGCCGUCGCAACACCAACACGAGCAACCCCAAACCCGCCCCUACCACCAACGAUGGGCAACCCCAAACCCGGCCCCUACCACCACCGACGCACCACCACCAUCUCUCUCUCUCACAGUGACUGGUUUGGCCCUUAUGAGCUUCUCAACUUCACUCUUCUUGGACCCUACUCAUUUGUUUCAAGAAACCAUUGCUAUUGAAAACCAUUUUUGUCUGUGGACUUCGGAAGAGGAUUCUGGCAGCCACCCAAGUAGUUCAAUUUAUGGCUUGUCUGAGUUGUUUUUGCUUAUAUUUAUGUACACACAAUCAUUUGCUCAAGUGACUAGGUUGUACUUUGACUACACGGAUGGGGCUGUAUUGCUGCAGAUUUUUUGUGCAAGUUGAGAUUUAAGAGGGCUCAAGGACCCAAAUAUAGGAUUUAAGAGAACAUAUCGGCCAAAUGCGUACGGUAUGUGCUUGGUUUUGCGAGGGGAUUGCUUGACUAAACUGGAUAACUUGUAUCUUUGAGAAUCAAAACUGGACAUAUGCUUAUUCUUUUCUAGCCAUCUAAAUUUCACGUCUUUUCAUGGAAUGUUUCUAUAGGCACUCCUGAACUAAAGAAAAACUAGGCACUUCCUAUUGUUCUCUUCUCUUGCUGAAUUCUUUUGGGAAAAUAACCUGACUUCACAUUUCUGUUAUUGAAUUGAUCAUCCGGACUCAAUCUGGUAAUUAGCUCCAAUGCAUCAUUGGGAAUCUUAGUUUCUUCCUUAGCCUUAUUGGCCACGUUUUUCUGAAUUUAUGUUCAUACCUUGGUAACUUGGUUUGAAAGCAUAAUUAGUUGGUAUGGAGAUCAAUUGCUGGAGGCUACGUGGCCAUGGGUUUAUUAGAUGUGGCUUGUGAGGAGAACCUGAAUACAAAAUAAAGUUUACCAAUUUUAAAAUAGACAAAUCUUUAGAUUGGUUGUUGUAAAGCACAUAAUGUAUCUAUUCUCAAGGACUUAAAUUCUAGUUCAAUUUAAGUUCUCUAGUGGAUACUAUUUUGUAAUUCCGAAGAGGGAAUUUGUUCUAUGAAUAUAAGUCUCAUUUAUACUUCUAUUGAUAGAGAAUUUGCAUAUCCUUAUGUGCCUAAUUAUAUGAGUUUGACAUUAGAGUUAUCUAGUUUGAUUCGGCAAUUUGACUUUGGUUUGUUAACUUUCUAAUUAAAUGAAUCAUAUGUCUUUG